CCUUAUGUUCGAACAUGGUCAUGAGGCAUGAGAUAAGGAGUUCAAAAUUAAAGAUUUCACUAGGUUUAAAUGAUAUAUAAUCUCUUAUUCUUGUUGGACUGAGACUUGAUGUAAUUCAGUAAAACGACAUUGUUCACAGAGUGGAGUAAAACACCUUUUAUUACAUCACUUCCAUCAAUUACUUUCAUCAACAUUUGUGUUGUAACACAGCAUUGAAUCUGGUUCUUCCAGUUAGACUGCAGCUGAAUGGUUUGUGUCUUUGGAGAAGCUGUUGACUCAUUUCUUUGUGUCCAACGCCUCUGUUCCUUAGGACUGUGGGUGAACCUGUCCCUGUUCCCCAUCAUGGCGGGCCUGGCUCUCUGCACAGCCACGGAGAUGAGCUUCAACAUGAUUGGCUUCUCUGCGGCGCUCUCCACCAACAUCAUGGACUGUUUGCAGAACGUAUUCUCCAAAAAGCUGCUAAGUGGAGACGGAUACAAGUUCAGCCCUCCGGAGCUGCAGUUUUAUACCAGUGCCGCAGCUGUCAUCAUGCUUAUACCUGCCUGGCUUUUUGUCUUGG